AUUGAACGCUGGCGGCAUGCCUUACACAUGCAAGUCGAACGGUAACAGGUCUUCGGAUGCUGACGAGUGGCGAACGGGUGAGUAAUACAUCGGAACGUGCCCGAUCGUGGGGGAUAACGGAGCGAAAGCUUUGCUAAUACCGCAUACGAUCUACGGAUGAAAGCAGGGGACCGCAAGGCCUUGCGCGGACGGAGCGGCCGAUGGCAGAUUAGGGAGUUGGUGGGAUAAAAGCUUACCAAGCCGACGAUCUGUAGCUGGUCUGGGAGGACGACCAGCCACACUGGGACGGGGACACGGCCCAGACUCCUACGGGAGGCAGCAGUGGGGAAUUUUGGACAAUGGGCGAAAGCCUGAUCCAGCCUUGCCGCGUGCAGGAUGAAGGCCUUCGGGUUGUAAACUGCUUUUGUACGGAACGAAAAGCCCUGGGUUAAUACCCUGGGGUCAUGACGGUACCGUAAAAAUAAGCACCGGCUAACUACGUGCCAGCCGCCGCCGUAAGAC
rnacentral:rRNA from 1 species